rnacentral:rRNA from 1 species
UACGGAGGGUGCAAGCGUUAAUCGGAAUUACUGGGCGUAAAGCGUACGUAGGCGGCUUGUUAAGCAAGAUGUGAAAUCCCCGGGCUCAACCUGGGAAUGGCAUUUUGAACUGGCAGGCUCGAGUUCUGAAGAGUGUGGUAGAAUUUCCAGUGUAGCGGUGAAAUGCGUAGAUAUUGGAAGGAAUACCGGUGGCGAAGGCGGCCACCUGGUCAGAAACUGACGCUGAGGUACGAAAGCGUGGGGAGCAAACAGG